AUCCCACGAUGAGGACAGGCGAGCAUGUAUUCUUAAAGUCUCUCCCAAGCUUCUGGGAUGGAUACCAUCCCCGUCUACUGGAAACUUGAAAUUCUUCCACGCAGGGC